rnacentral:rRNA from 1 species
AUUGAACGCUGGCGGCAGGCCUAACACAUGCAAGUCGAACGAGUGGCGGACGGGUGAGUAAUGUCUGGGAAACUGCCUGAUGGAGGGGGAUAAGUACUGGAAACGGUAGCUAAUACAGAAUACCAUCAGAUGUGCCCAGAUGGGAUUAGCUUGUGGGUGGGGUAACGGCUCACCAAGGCGACGAUCCCUAGCUGGUCUGAGAGGAUGACCAGCCACACUGGAACUUAGACACGCUCCAGACUCCUACGGGAGGCAGCAGUGGGGAAUCUUCCACAAUGGGCGCAAGCCUGAUGCAGCCAUGCCGCGUGUAUGAAGAAGGCCUUCGGGUUGUAAAGUACUUUCAGCGGGGAUGCGUUACCCGCAGAAGAAGCACCGGCUAACUCCGUGCCAGCCGCCGCGGUAAUUC